CUGGCGAAUCUCCCUUUGGGGAUCAAGGCCAAUGGACGAGGAAGAAGAAGAAGCAUUCCUCCUGUCAUUUUGGAACAACAAUGGUCAUAGUCUGUGAUGUCACCCAUGGUAUCCGAGGAGCCAGAGGAACCCGAAGCGUCCGAAGUGCCAGAGGUGCGUGAGGUGUCCGGAGAUGAUGGCGCCGGCGCAGAAGGAGGAGACGACGAAG